rnacentral:rRNA from 1 species
UGGUAGGGUAAUGGCUUACCAAGGCAACGAUCGGUAGCCGAACUGAGAGGUUGACCGGCCACAUUGGGACUGAGACACGGCCCAGACUCCUACGGGAGGCAGCAGUGGGGAAUAUUGCGCAAUGGGGGGAACCCUGACGCAGCGACGCCGCGUGAAGGAAGAAGGCCUUCGGGUUGUAAACUUCUUUGAUGAGGGACGAAACAAAUGACGGUACCUCAAAAACAAGCCACGGCUAACUACGUGCCAGCAGCCGCGGUAAUACGUAGGUGGCGAGCGUUGUCCGGAAUUACUGGGUGUAAAGGGCGUGUAGGCGGGGAUAUAAGUCGGAUGUGAAAUACCGAGGCUUAACUUCGGGGGUGCAUCUGAAACUAUAUUUCUUGAGUACUGGAGAGGGAAGCGGAAUUCCUAGUGUAGCGGUGAAAUGCGUAGAUAUUAGGAGGAACACCAGUGGCGAAGGCGGCUUCCUGGACAGUAACUGACGCUGAGGCGCGAAAGCGUGGGUAGCGAACAGGAUUAGAUACCCUGGUAGUCCACGCCGUAAACGAUGGAUACUAGGUGUAGGAGGUAUCGACCCCUUCUGUGCCGGAGUUAACAC